CCUACGGGAGACAGCAGUGGGGAAUAUUGCACAAUGGGGGACACCCUGCUGCAGCAACGCCGCGUGAGUGAAGAAGUCUUUCGGUAUGUAAAGCUCUAUCAGCAGGGAAGAGAAUGACGGUACCUGACUAAGAAGCCCCGGCUAACUACGUGCCAGCAGCCGCGGUAAUACGUAGGGGGCGAGCGUUAUCCGGAUUUACUGGGUGUAAAGGGCGCGUAGACGGGUCUGCAAGUCUGAAGUGAAAGCCCCGGGCUUAACCGCGGAACGGCUUUGGAAACUGUGGAACUGGAGUGCUGGGGAGGCUAGCGGAAUUGCAAGUGGAGCGGUGAAAUGCGGAGAUAUUAGGAGGAACACCAGUGGCGAAGGCGGCUUGCUGGACAGUAACUGACGUUGAGGCUCGAAAGCGUGGGGAGCAAACAGGAUUAGAUACCCGAGUAGUC
rnacentral:rRNA from 1 species